UUAAGCUACAAAGAGCACACGGAGGAUGCCUAGGCGCCAGGAGCCGACGAAGGACGUGGCGAACAACGAUAAGGCCUCGGGGAGCUGUAAGCAAGCUUUGAUCCGGGGAUGUCCGAAUGGGGAAACCCGGCUGUCUUCAUCGACAGUCACUACUCACUGAAUUCAUAGGUGAGUGAGAGGCAGACCAGGGGAACUGAAACAUCUAAGUACCCUGAGGAAGAGAAAACAAUAGUGAUUCCGUCAGUAGCGGCGAGCGAACGCGGAUUAGCCCAAACCAAGGAGCUUGCUCCUUGGGGUUGUGGGACGUCUCACAUGGAGUUACAAAGGAACCGGUUAGAUGAAGAGGUCUGGAAAGGCCCGCCAGAGAAGGUAAAAGCCCUGUAGUUCAAAACCCGUUCCCUCCGAGACGGAUCCCGAGUAGUGCGGGGCACGUGAAACCCCGUAUGAAUCCGGCAGGACCAUCUGCCAAGGCUAAAUACUCCCUGGCGACCGAUAGUGAAGCAGUACCGUGAGGGAAAGGUGAAAAGCACCCCGGAAGGGGAGUGAAAUAGAUCCUGAAACCGUGUGCUUACAAGAAGUCAGAGCCCUAUGAUAUUUUCCUUUGGAAAAAUCACGGGUGAUGGCGUGCCUUUUGUAGAAUGAACCGGCGAGUUACGUUCCCGUGCAAGGUUAAGGUGAAGAGCUGAAGCCGCAGCGAAAGCGAGUCUGAAUAGGGCGAAUGAGUACGUGGACGUAGACCCGAAACCGGGUGAUCUACCCCUGUCCAGGGUGAAGGUGCGGUAACACGCACUGGAGGCCCGAACCCACGCAUGUUGAAAAAUGCGGGGAUGAGGUGGGGGUAGCGGAGAAAUUCCAAUCGAACUCGGAGAUAGCUGGUUCUCCCCGAAAUAGCUUUAGGGCUAGCCUCGGAAAGAAGAAUCGUGGAGGUAGAGCACUGAUUGGGUGCGGGGCCUGCAAGGGUUACCAAGCUCAGUCAAACUCCGAAUGCCAUAGAUUUAGUUCCGGGAGUCAGACAGUGAGUGCUAAGAUCCAUUGUCGAAAGGGAAACAGCCCAGACCAUCAGCUAAGGUCCCCAAGUGUGUGUUAAGUGGGAAAGGAUGUGGAGUUGCACAGACAACCAGGAUGUUGGCUUAGAAGCAGCCACCAUUGAAAGAGUGCGUAAUAGCUCACUGGUCGAGUGACUCUGCGCCGAAAAUGUAACGGGGCUAAACACACCACCGAAGCUAUGGCUUGAUGCUUUGUAUCAGGGGUAGGGGAGCGUUGAAUGCGGGUUGAAGGUGUACCGGAAGGAGCGCUGGACUGCAUUCAAGUGAGAAUGCCGGUAUGAGUAACGAAAAGAUCUGUGAGAAUCAGAUCCGCCGAAAGCCUAAGGGUUCCUGAGGAAGGUUCGUCCGCUCAGGGUAAGUCGGGACCUAAGGCGAGGCCGAUAGGCGUAGUCGAAGGACAACAGGUGGAAAUUCCUGUACCACCGUAAUCCGCUAUGAGCGAUGGGGUGACGCAGUAGGGUAGUGACGCGGACUGAUGGAUGUCCGUCUAAGCAGUGAGGCUGAUGUGUAGGCAAAUCCGCACAUCGUUAAGGCUGGGCUGUGAUGGGGAGCGAAAAUUAUAGUAGCGAAGGUCAUGAUCUCAGACUGCCAAGAAAAGCCUCUAGCCAGGAGAAGGUGCCCGUACCGCAAACCGACACAGGUAGGCGAGAAGAGAAUUCUAAGGUGCGCGGAAGAACUCUCGUUAAGGAACUCGGCAAAAUGACCCCGUAACUUCGGGAGAAGGGGUGCCUCGGUAGGGUGAAUAGCCCGAGGGGCCGCAGUGAAAAGGCCCAAGCGACUGUUUAGCAAAAACACAGGUCUGUGCGAAGCCGCAAGGCGAAGUAUACGGGCUGACGCCUGCCCGGUGCUGGAAGGUUAAGGGGAGUGGUAAGCCUUCGGGCGAAGCUAUGAACCGAAGCCCCAGUAAACGGCGGCCGUAACUAUAACGGUCCUAAGGUAGCGAAAUUCCUUGUCAGGUAAAUUCUGACCCGCACGAAUGGCGUAACGACUUGGG
rnacentral:rRNA from 1 species